AUGGCGCCAUACUCGCUCGGAAGCUGCCCGUGCACCGCGCCAGCGCUGCCAGUGCACCGAGAAAACGAGGACACGCACGCUUCUUCAGCAAGUCUCCAGUGGAGUAGGAUUUUUUUUUUCCAGUGGAGUUGGAUUGAAAGGCCGAAAUCCGUUUCUUCUCUGUCUCAGGCUCGUGCCAGUUCAUAUGUGGAACUAUUUCAGCCCAGCCCUGGAAGAAAAUUCGGCCCAAAUGCAUGCUUUUUGAAACAUUUUAGAGUUUUCUCCCCAAAAAACAAGAUUUUUUUUCCUGUUUGGCGCUUGAGGCGCCAGUUACUACUGUUGGUUACUAGGGUUGGGAGCUACCAUACUAGUCAAUUGACUUUUCUGGUCUUCAUGGCACAACUUUGA
rnacentral:rRNA from 1 species